UGUUAGGUCAAGGUGCAGUUUAAUAAAGAAAAAAAUGGAUUACUUUAAAAAGAAUGAAUGAUUAUUAAUAUUGGUGUAUAUUGAUUAAAAAGGAUUUAAUAGUAAAUUAGUUUAAAUAAACUUAAUGAAUUUAGUUUCUAAAAUAUGUACACAUUGCCCGUCGCUCUUGUUUAAUACAAGAUAAGUCGUAACAUAGUAAAUGUACCGGAAGGUGUAUUUGGAAAUAGAAUAAAUAGCUUAAGUUUAAAGCUUAUUAUUUACAUUAAUAUGAUAUUAUAAAAUUUUAUUUUAAUUAAAUUUUUUUUUUGUUUUGGGUUAAUUAAUUUUUUAAAAAUAAUUACUGUGAGGGGGGAGCUUAUAGUAAUUAUAAUAAAAGAUAUAUUAAUUGUACCUUUUGUAUCAGGGGUAAUUUAAAUAUUAUUAUUAUUUAAUAUUUCUCGAAAAAUAAAGAUUUAUAUAAUUAAUAAUUUUUUAUGUCAUAAAUUAACUUUAUUUUUAUAUUGUUUUGAAAUAAAAAUCGAUUUAUUAUAUCUAGUUACUUUGAAUUUAAUUUAAUUAAAUUAUAAUUUGUUUAAUAAAUAAAUAAAAUAUUUUUGGGGAUAAUCUUUAAAAUAAAUUUAUAGAUAAAAAAUAUUUUUUUGAUCAUUAAGCUUAAAACUAGCUACAGAUAAUUAUGUGUAAUAAUUAAUUAUAAAAUAAUAAAUUUUUAUAUUAUCUUUAAGGGGAGUUAAAGGUAUAUAAAAUAUUAUUUAAUUUAUAAUAAUUAUGAUUAAAUUAGUAGAACGUAAAAUAUAAAUUUAGAAUUCGGCAAUUAUUUACUUCGCCUGUUUAACAAAAACAUCUUUGUGAGAAAAAAAAUUAUGAUACUGCCUGCUCAAU
rnacentral:rRNA from 1 species